rnacentral:rRNA from 1 species
AUUGAACGCUGGCGGCAGGCCUAACACAUGCAAGUCGAGCGGAGGAAGGGAGCUUGCUCCUGGAUUCAGCGGCGGACGGGUGAGUAAUGCCUAGGACUCUGCCUAGUAGUGGGGGAUAACGUCCGGAAACGGGCGCUAAUACCGCAUACGUCCUGAUGGAGAAAGUGGGGGAUCUUCGGACCGCACGCGAUCAGAUGAGCCUAGGUCGUAUUAGCUAGUUGGUGGGGUAAAGGCCUACCAAGGCGACGAUCCGUGACUGGUCUGAGAGGAUGAUCAGUCACACUGGAACUGAGACACGGUCCCGACUCCUACGGGAGGCAGCAGUGGGGAAUAUUGGACAAUGGGCGAAAGCCUGAUCCAGCCAUGCCGCGUGUGUGAAGAAGGUCUUCGGAUUGUAAAGCACUUUAAGUUGGGAGGAAGGGCAGUAAGUUAAUACCUUGCUGUUUUGACGUUACCAACAGAAUAAGCACCGGCUAACUUCGUG